rnacentral:rRNA from 1 species
AGAACGAACGCUGGCGGCAUGCCUAACACAUGCAAGUCGAACGCUCUUGGUUUCGGCCAAGGGAGUGGCGCACGGGUGAGUAACGCGUGGGAACCUGCCCUGGAGUGGGGGAUAACCGAGGGAAACCUCGGCUAAUACCGCAUACGACCUGAGGGUGAAAGAUUUAUCGCUCUAGGAGGGGCCCGCGUCGGAUUAGCUAGUUGGUGAGGUAACGGCCGACCAAGGCUAUGAUCCGUAGCUGGUCUGAGAGGAUGAUCAGCCACACUGGGACUGAGACACGGCCCAGACUCCUACGGGAGGCAGCAGUGGGAUAUUGGACAAUGGGCGCAAGCCUGAUCCAGCAAUGCCGCGUGAGUGAUGAAGGCCUUAGGGUUGUAAAGCUCUUUCACACGCGACGAUGAUGACGGUAGCGUGAGAAGAAGCCCGGCUAACUUCGCGCCAGCAGCCGC